rnacentral:rRNA from 1 species
GCAGGCUGCAACCCGCCUGCAUGAAGCCGGAAUCGCUAGUAAUCGCAGAUCAGAAUGCUGCGGUGAAUACGUUCCCGGGUCUUGUACACACCGCCCGUCACACCAUGGGAGUCGAUAACGCCCGAAGUCAGUGACCCAACCGAGAGGAGGGAGCUGCCGAAGGCGGGAUGGAUAACUGGGGUGAAGUCGUAACAAGGUAUC